AUUAAAGUUGUUGCAGUUAAAAAGCUCGUAGUUGGACUUGUGUGCGCUGUCCGCGGGUGGCCUGCGCCCAAAAGGGCGUUUCGGUUCGGCCCCGGUGGUGCCUUGAAAUCUGCAGCUGGGGGGACGUUGGCCUUAACUGGUCGGCGACCGCACGCCGGCUGCUCGGUUACUGUGAGAAAAUUAGAGUGUUCAAGGCAGGCAUUGGGUGCAAUUGAAUACAUUAGCAUGGAAUAAUAAAAUAUGCUCCUGCCGUAUUUUGUUGGUUUUGACUGGUGGGAGUAAUGAUUGAUAGGGACGGUUGGGGGUGCUAGUAUUGAGCGGCCAGAGGUGAAAUUCAUGGAUUCGCUCAAGACUAACUUAUGCGAAAGCAUUCACCAAGGACGUCCUCUUUAAUCAAGAACGAAAGUUGGGGGAUCGAAGACGAUCAGAUACCGUCGUAGUCUCAACCAUAAACUAUGUCGACUUGGGAUCGGCGGUAGUUUUUUCAUUAAGACACUGUCGGGACCACGGGAGAAAUCAAAGUGUCUGGACUCUGGGGGAAGUAUGGUCGCAAGGCUGAAACUUGAAGGAAUUGACGGAAGGGCACCACCAGGAGUGGAGCCCGCGGCUUAAUUUGACCCAACACGGGGAAACUUACCAGGUCCAGAGAUGUAGAGGAUUGACAGAUUGAAGCUCUUUCUUGAUCACUUCGGUGGUGGUGCAUGGCCGUUCUUAGUUGGUGGAGUGAUUUGUCUGGUUAAUUCCGUUAACGAACGAGACCUCAGCCUGCUAGUGUAGUCGGCUGGAUUGCCUUUGGCGAUCCGUGAUUUCGACUUCUUAGAGGGACAAUCGACGCGCAGUCGAUGGAAGUUUGAGGCAAUAACAGGUCUGUGAUGCCCUUAGAUGUUCUGGGCCGCACGCGCGCUACACUGCUGGGCUCAGCGAGUUCUACUUGGCCGAGAGGCCCGGUUAAUCUUGUGAAAUCCCAGCGUGCUUGGGCUCGCCUCCUGCAACUGGAGGCGCCAACGAGGAAUUCCUAGUAGACGCAGGUCAUCAACCUGCAUCGAUUACGUCCCUGCCCUUUGUACACACCGCCCGUCGUUCCAUAAGAGUGAGGCAUCCGGUGAAUUCUCGGGAGAGCCUGGGCGUGGCCAGCAAUGGUCUGCACGGGUUUGAACUUGCAUAAACUUGGUGCCUAUGAUUAGGG
rnacentral:rRNA from 1 species